UGGGGAAUAUUGCACAAUGGGCGCCAGCCUGAUGCAGCCAUGCCGCGUGUAUGAAGAAGGCCUUCGGGUUGUAAAGUACUUUCAGCGGGGAGGAAGGGAGUAAAGUUAAUACCUUUGCUCAUUGACGUUACCCGCAGAAGAAGCACCGGCUAACUCCGUGCCAGCAGCCGCGGUAAUACGGAGGGUGCAAGCGUUAAUCGGAAUUACUGGGCGUAAAGCGCACGCAGGCGGUUUGUUAAGUCAGAUGUGAAAUCCCCGGGCUCAACCUGGGAACUGCAUCUGAUACUGGCAAGCUUGAGUCUCGUAGAGGGGGGUAGAAUUCCAGGUGUAGCGGUGAAAUGCGUAGAGAUCUGGAGGAAUACCGGUGGCGAAGGCGGCCCCCUGGACGAAGACUGACGCUCAGGUGCGAAAGCGUGGGGAGCAAACAGG
rnacentral:rRNA from 1 species